rnacentral:rRNA from 1 species
CCUACGGGAGGCAGCAGUGGGGAAUAUUGGGCAAUGGGCGCAAGCCUGACCCAGCAACGCCGCGUGAAGGGCGAAGGCUUUCGGGUUGUGAGCUGGUGGUCUCAGGGACGAAGAAAGUGACGGUACCUGAGGAAUAAGCCACGGCUAACUACGUGCCAGCAGCCGCGGUAAUACGUAGGUGGCAAGCGUUAUCUGGAUUUACUGGGUGUAAAGGGCGUGUAGGCGGGACUGCAAGUCAGAUGUGAAAACCACGGGCUCAACCUGUGGCCUGCAUUUGAAACUGUAGUUCUUGAGUACUGGAGAGGCAGACGGAAUUCCUAGUGUAGCGGUGAAAUGCGUAGAUAUUAGGAGGAACACCAGUGGCGAAGGCGGUCUGCUGGACAGCAACUGACGCUGAGGCGCGAAAGCGUGGGGAGCAAACAGGAUUAGAUACCCUUGUAGUC